rnacentral:rRNA from 1 species
CAGCCGCCGCGGGAAUACGUAGGUGGCAAGCGUUGUCCGGAAUUAUUGGGCGUAAAGGGCUCGCAGGCGGUUUCUUAAGUCUGAUGUGAAAGCCCCCGGCUCGACCGGGGAGGGUCAUUGGAAACUGGGAAACUUGGGUGCAGAAGAGGAGAGUGGAAUUCCACGUGUAGCGGUGAAAUGCGUAGAGAUGUGGAGGAACACCAGUGGCGAAGGCGACUCUCUGGUCUGUAACUGACGCUGAGGAGCGAAAGCGUGGGGAGCGAACAGGAUUAGAUACCCCUGUAGUCCCUGUCUCUUAUAC